CCCUUUGGCGGGUCCCUUAACCAGAAAAGCCCCCGGGUUAACUUAGGUGCCCAGCAGCCCGCGGUUAAUACGGUAGGUGGGCAAGGCGUUUUUCCGGAAAUUUAUUGGGGGGUAAAAGCGGGGCGUCAGGUGGUUUUCUUAAGUUCUGAUGGGAAAAGCCCCACGGGUUCAACCGGGGGAGGGUUCAUUGGGAAACUGGGGAGACUUGAGUGCAGAAGAGGAAAAGUGGAAUUUCCAUGUGUAGCGGUGAAAUGCGUAGAGAUAUGGAGGAACCACCAGUGGCGAAGGGCGACUUUUCUGGUCUGUAACUGACACUGAGGGGCGAAAGCGUGGGGAGCAAAACAGGAUUAGAUACCCUGGUAGUCCACGCCGUAAACGAUGAGUGCUAAGUGUUAGAGGGUUUCCGCCCUUUAGUGCUGAAGUUAACGCAUUAAGCAUUCCGCCUGGGGAGUACGGCCGCAAGGCUGAAACUCAAAGGAAUUGACGGGGGCCCGCACAAGCGGUGGAGCAUGUGGUUUAAUUGGAAGCAACGGGAAGACCCUUACCAGUUCUUGACAUCUUCUGACAACCCUAGAGAUAGGGCUUUUCCUUAGGAAGCAGAGUGACAGGUGGUGCAUGGUGGUGGUCAGUUGGUGUCGUGAGAUGUUGGGUUAAGUCCCGCAACGAGCGCAACCCUUGUUUUUAGUUGCCAUCAUUAAGUUGGGCAUUUUAAGGUGACUGCCGGUGACAAACCGGAGGAAGGUGGGGAGGACGUCAAUUCAUCAUGCCCUUUAUGCCUUGGGUUACACACGUGUUACAAUGGACGGUACAAAGAGCUGCAAGCCCGGGAGGGGAAGCUAUUCUCAUAAACCCUUUCUCAGUUGGGAUUGUAGGCUGCAAUUCCCUUACAGGAAGCGGGAAUCGUUAGUAAUCGGGGAUCAGCAUCCCGCGGGGAAUACGUUCCCGGCCCUUGGUAACACCCCGCCCGUUCCACCCACCCCAAGGGAAGGAAGGUUUGGUAACCCAACCCCCGGAAAGGUUCCGGGUUGGGGUU
rnacentral:rRNA from 1 species